rnacentral:rRNA from 1 species
GCACAAGCAGUGGAGUAUGUGGUUUAAUUCGAAGCAACGCGAAGAACCUUACCAGGUCUUGACAUCCGAUGCAUAGUGCAGAGAUGCAUGAAGUCCUUCGGGACAUCGAGACAGGUGGUGCAUGGUUGUCGUCAGCUCGUGUCGUGAGAUGUUGGGUUAAGUCCCGCAACGAGCGCAACCCUUAUGGUCAGUUACUACGCAAGAGGACUCUGGCCAGACUGCCGUACAAAA